rfam:Ipomoea nil DNA, scaffold: scaffold0656, cultivar: Tokyo-kokei standard.
AGCCACGCGGUGAGCACAUAGCGAACUAUUCUUUCGCCUUUUACUAAAUAAUACCGUGUGCGCGUCGCAUUGAGUGGCAUACGCCAAUUUUUGGAGAUAGCCUCUUCCAGAGGACCU